rnacentral:rRNA from 1 species
UACGUAGGGUGCGAGCGUUGUCCGGAAUUAUUGGGCGUAAAGAGCUCGUAGGCGGUUCGUCGCGUCGGCUGUGAAAUCCCGGAGCUCAACUCCGGGUCUGCAGUCGAUACGGGCGGACUUGAGUACUGCAGGGGAGACUGGAAUUCCGGGUGUAGCGGUGGAAUGCGUAGAGAUCCGGAGGAAGACCGGGUGGCGAAGGCGGCCUGCUGGGCAGUUACUGACACUGAGGCGCGACAGCGUGGGGAGCAAACAGG